rnacentral:rRNA from 1 species
UAGGGAAUCUUCCACAAUGGACGCAAGUCUGAUGGAGCAACGCCGCGUGAGUGAAGAAGGUUUUCGGACCGUAAAGCUCUGUUGUUGGUGAAGAAGGAUAGGGGUAGUAACUGGCCUUUAUUUGACGGUAAUCAACCAGAAAGUCACGGCUAACUACGUGCCAGCAGCCGCGGUAAUACGUAGGUGGCAAGCGUUGUCCGGAUUUAUUGGGCGUAAAGCGAGCGCAGGCGGAAGAAUAAGUCUGAUGUGAAAGCCCUCGGCUUAACCGAGGAAUUGCAUCGGAAACUGUUUUCUUGAGUGUAGAAGAGGAGAGUAGAACUCCAUGUGUAGCGGUGGAAUGCGUAGAUAUAUGGAAGAAUACCAGUGGCGAAGGCGGCUCUCUGGUCUGCAACUGACGCUGAGGCUCGAAAGCAUGGGUAGCGAACAGGAUUAGAUACCCUGGUAGUCCAUGCCGUAAACGAUGAGUGCUAAGUGUUGGGAGGCUUCCGCCUCUCAGUGCUGCAGCUAACGCAUUAAGCACUCCGCCUGGGGGAGUACGACCGCAAGG